AUAAAUCUACACGAGAGAAAAGAUCACAGGACGUCUCUGCUUUCACUAUGAAUUGCGUUGCACUGCUUGCUUUGAUGUGCUGGUGCGCAUUGUGUGGGGAGGCGAUGCACCUGAUGCGUCCGCGCCCCUCACCACUGGACAGCGCCGCGUCCUGGAACAACCUAAAUGUGAUGACUAAAAAAGCACAAAGCAGUGACAGAGACCACGAAACCCGACUGAUUCCAGUGAUAACCAGCGAGAUGAUGAAACAAGAAGACACGUGCUGCAUCAACGCAAUGAUCCUUAAUUACUAUCUAGAGAACAUCCUCCAGGAACAUCCCACAGACAGGGACUACCCGAGUAUUGGUUUCGUGAGGUCUGAUCUGCACAGGAUCGCAAAAGAUUUGGAACCA